AGAGUUUGAUCAUGGCUCAGAUUGAACGCUGGCGGCGUGCCUAACACAUGCAAGUCGAGCGGUAACAGGCGUAGCAAUACGUGCUGACGAGCGGCGAACGGGUGAGUAAUGCUUCGGAAUCUACCCAGUAGUGGGGAAUAACCAGCCGAAAGGUUGGCUAAUACCGCAUACGUCCUACGGGAGAAAGCGGGGGAUCGUAAGACCUCGCGCUAGUGGAUGAGCCGAAGCCGGAUUAGCUAGUUGGUAGGGUAACGGCCUACCAAGGCGACGAUCCGUAGCUGGUCUGAGAGGACGACCAGCCACACUGGGACUGAGACACGGCCCAGACUCCUACGGGAGGCAGCAGUGGGGAAUAUUGGACAAUGGGGGAAACCCUGAUCCAGCGACGCCGCGUGUGUGAAGAAGGCCUGCGGGUUGUAAAGCACUUUUAGUGGGGAUGAAAAGCCUUGGGAUAAUACUCCAGGGUCUUGACCUAACCCACAGAAAAAGCACCGGCUAACUCUGUGCCAGCCGCCGCGGUAAUAC
rnacentral:rRNA from 1 species